GAGUAGGGCCGGGCACGUGAAACCCGGUCCGAACCUGGGUGGACCACCAUCCAAGCCUGAGUACUACCCUGUGACCGAUAGCGCACCAGUACCGUGAGGGAAAGGUGAAAAGCACCCCGGGAGGGGAGUGAAACAGUACCUGAAACCGUGCGCCCACGAGCAGUCGGAGCACCUUUAUGGUGUGACGGCGUGCCUUUUGUAGAAUGAGCCAGCGAGUCGCUGGCGCGGGGCGAGGUUAACCGAAAGGGAGCCGGAGCGAAAGCGAGCCUUAACAGGGCGACUUGAGUCCCGCGCCGCGGACGCGAAGCCGGGUGAGCUAUCCGUGGGCAGGCUGAAGCGGGGGUAAGACCCCGUGGAGGGCCGAACGCACGUCGGUUGAAAACGGCGGCGAUGACCUGCGGAUAGGGGUGAAAGGCCAAUCAAACCCGGAGAUAUCUCGUUCUCCCCGAAAUAGCUUUAGGGCUAGCGUCGCGCGUUCACCGCCGGAGGUAGAGCACCGGAUGGACGAGGGGGCUUCGCCGCCUACCGAAUCCAACCGAACUCCGAAUGCCGGCGGCCCAGAGCGCGGCAGUCAGAGCAUGUGGGCUAAGCUGUGUGCUCGAGAGGGAAACAGCCCGGACCGCCCGCUAAGGUCCCCAAGUUCCAGCCGAGUGGCAAAGGAUGUGCGUCCGCCCAGACAACCAGGAUGUUGGCUUAGAAGCAGCCAUCCAUUCAAAGAGUGCGUAACAGCUCACUGGUCGAGUGGACAUGCGCCGACAAUACACGGGGCUAAGCUGGACACCGAAGCGGCGGGAUUUUAAUUCAUUAGAAUCGGUAGGGGAGCUUCCCAUGGGCGGAGAAGCCGGAGGGCGACCGACGGUGGAGCGCAUGGGAGUGAGAAUGCUGGCAUGAGUAGCGAGAGACGAGAGAGUAACUCGUCCGCCGUGAACCCGAGGUUUCCUGGGCAAGGCUAAUCCUCCCAGGGUCAGUCGGGGGCUAAGGCGAGGCCGGUAGGCGUAGCCGACGCGCAGCAGGCAGACAUUCCUGCACCGCGCACGCGGCGCUACGACCGACGGGGCGACGGAUGGGGGUGGCUCGGCGGGGUUCUGGACGUCCCCGUGAUGGAGCGCGGCCCGCGGACCAGGGAAAUCCGGUCCGCACGAGGGCGAGGCUCCGGACGAAGCGACUGAGCGAAGCGAGUGAGCCCGAGGUCCCUAGAAAAACCCCUAGGCAGGCGCGUGCGCGCCCGUACCGCAAACCGACACAGGUGGGUGGGUAGAACAUACCGAGGCGAUCGGGUCAACCAUGGUCAAGGAACUCGGCACAAUGGCCCCGUAACUUCGGGAGAAGGGGUGCCCGCGCGUACGUGAACCGGCUUGCCCGGGGAGCGGAGGCGGGCCGCAGUGGAGAGGCCCAAGCGACUGUUUACCAAAAACACAGGACUCUGCAGAAGCCGCAAGGCGACGUAUAGGGUCUGACGCCUGCCCGGUGCCGGAAGGUCACGCGGAGGAGUUAGCCAUUAAGGCGAAGCCCCGAAGCCAAGCCCCGGUAAACGGCGGCCGUAACUAUAACGGUCCUAAGGUAGCGAAAUUCCUUGUCGGGUAAGUUCCGACCUGCACGAAAGGCGCAACGACUUGGGCGCUGUCUCGACCAUGGACCCGGUGAAAUUGCACUGGUCGUGAAGAUGCGACUUACCCGCGGAAGGACGGAAAGACCCCGUGAACCUUCACUGCAGCUUGGCAUUGGCCGCUGGUCCCGCGUGUAGAGGAUAGGCAGGAGGCACAGAUCCGGAGGCGCCAGCCCCCGGGGAGCCGCCCUUGGAAUACUGCCCUCGCGCGACCGGCGUCCUAACCCGAGGCCGUCAACCGGCUCGGGGACCGUGCCAGGCGGGCAGUUUGACUGGGGCGGUCGCCUCCUAAAGGGUAACGGAGGCGCGCGAAGGUCCGCUCGGGACGGUCGGCAACCGUCCUUUUGAAUGCAAGAGUACAAGCGGGCUUGACUGCGAGGCCCACAAGCCGAGCAGGUGCGAAAGCAGGCUCUAGUGAUCCGGCGGCCCCGAGUGGGUGGGCCGUCGCUCAACGGAUAAAAGGUACUCCGGGGAUAACAGGCUGAUCUUGCCCAAGAGUCCACAUCGACGGCAAGGUUUGGCACCUCGAUGUCGGCUCAUCGCAUCCUGGGGCUGGAGCAGGUCCCAAGGGUACGGCUGUUCGCCGUUUAAAGCGGUACGCGAGCUGGGUUCAGAACGUCGUGAGACAGUUCGGUCCCUAUCC
rnacentral:rRNA from 1 species